rnacentral:tRNA from 1 species
AGAGAAAUGUUAUUACAAGAAUGGGUUUCUAACCCAAACCAAGCGAUUAAGUCCGCUCUUUCUCUU